CCUACGGGAGGCAGCAGUGGGGAAUAUUGCACAAUGGGGGAAACCCUGAUGCAGCGACGCCGCGUGAGUGAAGAAGUAUUUCGGUAUGUAAAGCUCUAUCAGCAGGGAAGAAAAUGACGGUACCUGUUUAAGAAGCCCCGGCUAACUACGUGCCAGCAGCCGCGGUAAUACGUAGGGGGCGAGCGUUAUCCGGAUUUACUGGGUGUAAAGGGAGCGUAGACGGCAGCACAAGUCUGGAGUGAAAUGCCGGGGCUUAACCCCGGAACUGCUUUGGAAACUGUGCAGCUAGAGUGCAGGAGAGGUAAGUGGAAUUCCUAGGGUAGCGGUGAAAUGCGUAGAUAUUAGGAGGAACACCAGUGGCGAAGGCGGCUUACUGGACUGUAACUGACGGUGAGGCUCGAAAGCGUGGGGAGCAAACAGGAUUAGAUACCCCAGUAGUC
rnacentral:rRNA from 1 species